GCGAGUGAAGCGGCAACAGCUCAAAUUUGAAAUCUGGCUUCGGCCCGAGUUGUAAUUUGUAGAGGAUGCUUUUGGCGCGGUGCCUUCUGAGUUCCCUGGAACGGGACGCCAUAGAGGGUGAGAGCCCCGUAUAGUUGGACACCAAGCCUUUGUAAAGCUCCUUCGACGAGUCGAGUAGUUUGGGAAUGCUGCUCAAAAUGGGAGGUAAAUUUCUUCUAAAGCUAAAUACCGGCCAGAGACCGAUAGCGCACAAGUAGAGUGAUCGAAAGAUGAAAAGCACUUUGAAAAGAGGGUUAAAUAGCACGUGAAAUUGUUGAAAGGGAAGCGCUUAUGACCAGACUUGUUCCAGGUUGAUCAUCCAGUGUUCUCACUGGUGCACUCUGCCUGGAUCAGGCCAGCGUCGAUUUUCGUAGGGGGAUAAAGGCAUUGGGAAUGUAGCUCCUCCGGGAGUGUUAUAGCCCUUUGUAUAAUACCCUUGUGGGGAUCGAGGUACGCGCUCUGCAAGGACGCUGGCGUAAUGGUCAUCAGCGA
rnacentral:rRNA from 1 species